UAUGAGGUGUGCAUAUAGUAUGGGACAUCCCUGAUAAGAACUGACUGUUGCUUUUUUCUAUUUAUUAGAAAUGGGAUCUUUACAGCCAUUUAAAGUGUAAUAAUGUCCCAUAUCUCGAAAAUGCUGCAGUAAAAUGGCUUGAUAUGAGGUGUGCAUAUAGUGUGGGAGGUCCCUGAUAAGAACUGACUUUUGUUUUUUUCUACUUAUUAGAAAUGGGAUCUUUAUAGCCCUUUAAAGUGUAAUAAUGUCCCAUAUCUCAAAAAUGCUGCAGUAAAAGGGUUUGAUAUGAGGUGUGCAUAUAGUAUGGGAUGUCCUUUAUAAGAACUGACCAUUGUUUUUUUCUACUUAUUAGAAAUGAUGUCUUUAUAGCCCUACAAAUCACCAUUUGGACCCAUAUCUCAAAAAUGCUGCAGUAAAAUGGUUUGAUAUGAGGUGUGCAUAUAGUAUGGCAUGUCCUUUAUAAGAACUGACCAUUGUUUUUUUCUACUUAUUAGAAAUGGGAUCUUUAUAGCCCUUUAAAGUGUAAUAAUGUCCCAUAUCUUGAAAAUGCUGCAGUAAAAUGGUUUGAUAUGAGGUGUGCAUAUAGUAUGGGACAUCCCUGAUAAGAACUGACUGUUGCUUUUUUCUACUUAUUAGAAAUGGGAUCUUUACAGCCAUUUAAAGUGUAAUAAUGUCCCAUAUCUCGAAAAUGCUGCAGUAAAAUGGUUUGAUAUGAGGUGUGCAUAUAGUAUGGGAUGUCCCUGAUAAGAACUGACUUUUGUUUUUUUCUACUUAUUAGAAAUGUGAUCUUUACAGCCAUUUAAAGUGUAAUAAUGUCCCGUAUCUUGAAAAUGCUGCAGUAAAAUGGUUUGAUAUGAGGUGUGCAUAUAGUAUGGGACGUCCCUGAUAAGAACUGACUAUUGUUUUUUUCUACUUAUUAGAAAUGGUGUCUUUAUAGCCCUCUAAAUCAUUGUAUUGUCCCAUAUCUGAAAAAUGCUGCAGUAAAAUGGUUUGAAAUGAGGUGUGCAUAUAGUAUGGGACAUCCCAGAUAAGAACUGACUGUUGUUUUUUUCUACUUAUUAGAAAUGGGAUCUUUACAGCCAUUUAAAGUGUAAUAAUGUCCCAUAUCUCGAAAAUGCUGCAGUAAAAUGGUUUGAUAUGAGGUGUGCAUAUAUUAUGGGAUGUCCCUGAUAAGAACUGACUUUCGUUUUUUUCUACUUAUUAGAAAUGGGAUCUUUACAGCCCUUUAAAGUGUAAUAAUGUCCCAUAUCUCGAAAAUGCUGCAGUAAAAUGGUUUGAUAUGAGGUGUGCAUAUAGUAUGGCAUGUCCUUUAUAAGAACUGACCAUUGUUUUUUUCUACUUAUUAGAAAUGGGGUCUUUGUAGCACUCUAAAUCACCAUUUGGACCCAUAUCUCAAAAAUGCUGCAGUAAAAGGGUUUGAUAUGAGGUGUGCAUAUAGUAUGGGACAUCCCUUAUAGGAACAUACCAUUGUUUUUAUCUACUUAUUAGAAAUGGGAUCUUUAUAGCCCUUUAAAAUAUAAUAAUGUCCCAUAUCUCGAAAAUUCUGCAGUAAAAUGGUUUGAUAUGAGGUGUGCAUAUAGUAUGGGAUGUCCCUGAUAAGAACUGACUUUUGUUUUUUUCUACUUAUUAGAAAUGGGAUCUUUACAGCCCUUUAAAGUGUAAAAAUGUCUCGUAUCUUAAAAAUGCUGCAGUAAAAUGGUUUCAUAUGAAGGGUGCAUAUAGUAUGGGACGUCCCUGAUAAGAACUGACUAUUGUUUUUUUCUACUUAUUAGAAAUGUUGUCUUUAUAGCCCUCUAAAUUGCCACAUGGACCCAUAUCUCAAAAAUGCUGCAGUAAAAUGGUUUGAUAUGAUUUGUGCAUAUAGUAUGGAAUGUCCUUUAUAAGAUCUGACCAUUGUUUUUUUCUACUUAUUAGAAAUGGGAUCUUCACAGCCCGUUAAAGUGUAAUAAUUUCCCAUUUCUGGAAAAAGCUGCAGUAAAAUGGUUUGAUAUGAGAUGUGCUCAUAGUAUGGGACGUCACUGAUGAGAACUGACUAUUAUUUUUUUCUACUUAUUAGAAAUGGGGUCUUUAUAGCACUCUAAAUUGCCAUAUGGACCCAUAUCUCAAACAUGCUGCAGUAAAAUGCUUUGAUAUGAGGUGUGCAUAUAGUAUGGCAUGUGCUUCAUAAGAACUGACCAUUGUUUUUUUCUACUUAUUAGAAAUGGUGUCUUUAUAGCCAUCGAAAUCACCAUUUGGACCCAUAUGUCAAAAAUGCUGCAGUAAAAGGUUUUGAUAUGAGGUGUGCAUAUAGUAUGUGAAAUCCCUUAUAGGAACAGACUAUUGUUUUUUUCUACUUAUUAGAAAUGGUGUCUUUAUAGCCCUUUAAAUCAUUGUAUUGUCCCAUAUAUUAAAAAUGCUGCAGUAAAAUGGUUUCAUAUGAAGUGUGCAUAUAGUAUGGGAUGUCCCUGAUAAGAACUGACUAUUGUUUUUUUCUACUUAUUAGAAAUGGUGUCUUUAUCGCCCUCUAAAUCAUUGUAUUGUCCCAUAUCUCAAAAAUGCUGCAGUAAAAUGGUUUCAUAUGAAGGGUGCAAAUAGUAUGUGAUGUCCCUGAUAAGAACUGACCUUUGUUUUUUUCUACUUAUUAGAAAUGUUGACUUUAUAGCCCUCUAAAUCGCGAUAUGGACGCAUAUCUCAAAAAUGCUGCAGUAAAAUGGUUUGAUAUGAGGUUUGCAUAUAGUUUGGGAUGUCCCUUAUAUGAACUGACCUUUGUUUUUUUUCUACUUAUUAGAAAUAGGGUUGUGAUGAGUGGGGCGGGGCCGCGAGCCAUGAGAACGGAAUGAGGCCAGUGGAGUGACUGGAAAUGAGCGACGCCUGCUCCACUCACCGGUCUCGCGUCCCGCGGUGGAGAUGGAAGGAUACAAAAGAGGGGGCGACGACAGUGAACAACGAGAGAGGGCCAGGCCAGGCCAUGAUUUUAGUUUGUACUUGGUUUUUGUUUGUAAGCGACAGUUGUCCGUGAAGGGCUGUCGCAGUGUUUUGUGUUUAUUUUGUUAUUAAAAGCCUUAUUUGAUUGA